rnacentral:rRNA from 1 species
UACGUAGGGGGCAAGCGUUGUCCGGAUUUAUUGGGCGUAAAGAGCGUGUAGGCGGCCAAGCAGGUCAGCUGUGAAAACUCGAGGCUCAACCUCGAGACGUCGGUUGAAACCGCUUGGCUAGAGUCCGGAAGAGGAGAGUGGAAUUCCCGGUGUAGCGGUGAAAUGCGCAGAUAUCGGGAAGAACACCCGUGGCGAAGGCGGUUCUCUGGGACGGUACUGACGCUGAGACGCGAAAGCGUGGGGAGCGAACAGG